GACGAACGCUGGCGGCGUGCUUAACACAUGCAAGUCGAACGGAAAGGCCCUGCUUUUGUGGGGUGCUCGAGUGGCGAACGGGUGAGUAACACGUGAGUAACCUGCCCUUGACUUUGGGAUAACUUCAGGAAACUGGGGCUAAUACCGGAUAGGAGCUCCUGCUGCAUGGUGGGGGUUGGAAAGUUUCGGCGGUUGGGGAUGGACUCGCGGCUUAUAAGCUUGUUGGUGGGGUAGUGGCUUACCAAGGCUUUGACGGGUAGCAGGCCUGAGAGGGUGACCGGCCACAGUGGGACGGAGAUACGGCCCAGACUCCUACGGGAGGCAGCAGUGGGGAAUAAUGCACAAUGGGCGGAAGCCUGAUGAAGCAACGCCGCGUGCGGGAGGACGGCCUUCGGGGUGUAAACCGCUUUCGCCUGUGACGAAGCGUGAGUGACGGUAAUGGGUAAAGAAGCACCGGCUAACUACGUG
rnacentral:rRNA from 1 species